UUAAAUUGAAGAGUUUGAUCAUGGCUCAGAUUGAACGCUGGCGGCAGGCCUAACACAUGCAAGUCGAACGGUAACAGGAAACAGCUUGCUGUUUCGCUGACGAGUGGCGGACGGGUGAGUAAUGUCUGGGAAACUGCCUGAUGGGGGGGAUAACUACUGGAAACGGUAGCUAAUACCGCAUAACGUCGCAAGACCAAAGAGGGGGACCUUCGGGCCUCUUGCCAUCGGAUGUGCCCAGAUGGGAUUAGCUUGUUGGUGGGGUAACGGCUCACCAAGGCGACGAUCCCUAGCUGGUCUGAGAGGAUGACCAGCCACACUGGAACUGAGACACGGUCCAGACUCCUACGGGAGGCAGCAGUGGGGAAUAUUGCACAAUGGGCGCAAGCCUGAUGCAGCCAUGCCGCGUGUAUGAAGAAGGCCUUCGGGUUGUAAAGUACUUUCAGCGGGGAGGAAGGGAGUAAAGUUAAUACCUUUACUCAUUGACGUUACCCGCAGAAGAAGCACCGGCUAACUCCGUGCCAGCAGCCGCGGUAAUACGGAGGGUGCAAGCGUUAAUCGGAAUUACUGGGCGUAAAGCGCACGCAGGCGGUUUGUUAAGUCAGAUGUGAAAUCCCCGGGCUCAACCUGGGAACUGCAUCUGAUACUGGCAAGCUUGAGUCUCGUAGAGGGGGGUAGAAUUCCAGGUGUAGCGGUGAAAUGCGUAGAGAUCUGGAGGAAUACCGGUGGCGAAGGCGGCCCCCUGGACGAAGACUGACGCUCAGGUGCGAAAGCGUGGGGAGCAAACAGGAUUAGAUACCCUGGUAGUCCACGCCGUAAACGAUGUCGACUUGGAGGUUGUGCCCUUGAGGCGUGGCUUCCGGAGCUAACGCGUUAAGUCGACCGCCUGGGGAGUACGGCCGCAAGGUUAAAACUCAAAUGAAUUGACGGGGGCCCGCACAAGCGGUGGAGCAUGUGGUUUAAUUCGAUGCAACGCGAAGAACCUUACCUGGUCUUGACAUCCACGGAAGUUUUCAGAGAUGAGAAUGUGCCUUCGGGAACCGUGAGACAGGUGCUGCAUGGCUGUCGUCAGCUCGUGUUGUGAAAUGUUGGGUUAAGUCCCGCAACGAGCGCAACCCUUAUCCUUUGUUGCCAGCGGUCCGGCCGGGAACUCAAAGGAGACUGCCAGUGAUAAACUGGAGGAAGGUGGGGAUGACGUCAAGUCAUCAUGGCCCUUACGACCAGGGCUACACACGUGCUACAAUGGCGCAUACAAAGAGAAGCGACCUCGCGAGAGCAAGCGGACCUCAUAAAGUGCGUCGUAGUCCGGAUUGGAGUCUGCAACUCGACUCCAUGAAGUCGGAAUCGCUAGUAAUCGUGGAUCAGAAUGCCACGGUGAAUACGUUCCCGGGCCUUGUACACACCGCCCGUCACACCAUGGGAGUGGGUUGCAAAAGAAGUAGGUAGCUUAACCUUCGGGAGGGCGCUUACCACUUUGUGAUUCAUGACUGGGGUGAAGUCGUAACAAGGUAACCGUAGGGGAACCUGCGGUUGGAUCACCUCCUUACCUUAAAGAAGC
rnacentral:rRNA from 1 species